UUGAAGUAGACGAAGAACUUCACCUACCAC
rnacentral:piRNA from 1 species